ACCAGCACGGUGGUGCAUGCCUGUAGUCCCAGCUACUUGGGAGGCUGAGGUAGAAGGAUCAAUUGAGCCCAGGAGUUCUGGGCUGCAGUGUGCUAUGCUGCUCAGUGUCCACACUAAGUUCAGCAUCAAUAUGGUGACCUCCCGGGAGCAGGGGACCAUAGGUUGCCUAAGGAGGGGUGAACCAGCCCAGGUCGGAAAUGGAGCAGGUCAAAACUCCCGUGCUGAUCAGUAGUGGGAUCACAUCUGUGAAUAGCCACUACACUCCAGCCUGGGCAACAUAGUGAGACCCCAUCUCU
rnacentral:SRP_RNA from 1 species